UACCCCGCAAGGGGUAACUGAGUGGCGAACGGGUGAGUAACGCGUGGGUGACCUACCUUCGAAUGGGGGAUAACGUCCCGAAAGGGACGCUAACACCGCAUAACAUCCUGCUCUUGAACGAGCGGUGAUCAAAGCCGGGGAUCGCAAGACCUGGCGUUUGUUGAUGGGCCCGCGUCUGAUUAGCUAGUUGGUGAGGUAACGGCUCACCAAGGCGACGAUCAGUAUCCGGCCUGAGAGGGCGGACGGACACACUGGGACUGAGACACGGCCCAGACUCCUACGGGAGGCAGCAGUGGGGAAUUGUUCGCAAUGGGCGCAAGCCUGACGACGCAACGCCGCGUGGAGGAUGAAGGUCUUCGGAUUGUAAACUCCUGUUGCUCGGGACGAAAAGCUUCGACCUAACACGUCGAAGUCUGACGGUACCGGGUGAGGAAGCCCCGGCUAACUCAGUGCCAGCAGCCGCGGUAAUACAGAGGGGGCAAGCGUUGUUCGGAAUUACUGGGCGUAAAGGGCGCGUAGGCGGCCUGUUAAGUCGAACGUGAAAUCCCCGGGCUCAACCCGGGAACUGCGUCCGACACUGGCUGGCUUGAAUCCGGGAGAGGGAUGCGGAAUUCCAGGUGUAGCGGUGAAAUGCGUAGAUAUCUGGAGGAACACCGGUGGCGAAGGCGGCAUCCUGGACCGGU
rnacentral:rRNA from 1 species